rnacentral:lncRNA from 1 species
ACAUUUUAUAUAUGCAUCAUAAAAUCAGAAAAAUUGACUGAAAAUUUUGCUCUGCACAAGUUAAAACUGGAAUGUUGUAGUAGUUUGUGACUCAAUUUGGACCAAUUUAUGAAUUGAAUUUCUUUGAGGUGUCCUUUAAAGAUUAUUAGUACUUCAAGUUUAAUUUUUAACGGGGCAAGUUGUAUGAUUUUUUGACAUUUAUAACUCAAAUUAUGAUUUUUCAAAGGAAUGAUACUUGCUGAAAACUUCCAGUUUCAAAAGUACUC